UACGAAGGGGGCUAGCGUUGCUCGGAAUCACUGGGCGUAAAGGGUGCGUAGGCGGGUUUUUAAGUCAGGGGUGAAAUCCUGGAGCUCAACUCCAGAACUGCCUUUGAUACUGAAGAUCUUGAGUCCGGGAGAGGUGAGUGGAACUGCGAGUGUAGAGGUGAAAUUCGUAGAUAUUCGCAGGAACACCGGUGGCGAAGGCGGCGACCUGGGUCGAUACUGACGCUGAUGCGCGAAAGCGUGGGGAGCAAACAGG
rnacentral:rRNA from 1 species